AAAAAAGCAAACUCUAGAUUUUCGUGUCCAACUUUGGUUAUCCGUCUUAUAUGAAAUUUUUUUAUAAUUUAUAUUUUCAUUGUUGUUAGAUAAUAAAACAUGAUUAAUAUUUUAUGCGUGAUUUGUCUUUUUAAUUUUUUUCAUAAUUUUUUCAAAUAAGACGGACGGUCAAACGUUGAACACGGAAACCAGGGUUUUUCUUUUU
rfam:Oryza nivara chromosome 6, whole genome shotgun sequence.